AGUGAACGUUGGCGGCGUGCCUAACACAUGCAAGUCGAACGAUACCCGAGUAGCUUGCUAUUCGGGAAGAGUGGCGAACGGGUGAGUAAUACGUGGGUAAUCUCCCCUCGAGUGAGGAAUAAUCUCGCGAAAGCGGGACUAAUACCGCAUAAUACUCUGGAGCAUAAGCUUUCAGAUUCAAAGCCUUCGGGCGCUUGAGGAUGAGCCUUCGACCUAUUAGCUAGUUGGUAGGGUAAUGGCCUACCAAGGUUAUGAUGGGUAGCCGGCCUGAGAGGGUGUACGGCCACACUGGGACUGAGACACGGCCCAGACUCCUACGGGAGGCAGCAGUGGGGAAUAUUGCGCAAUGGGCGAAAGCCUGACGCAGCGACGCCGCGUGGAGGAUGACGGCCUUCGGGUUGUAAACUCCUGUCAGAAGAGAAGAAAACCCGAGUAAUCGGGCUUGACGGUAUCUUCAGAGAAGCCCCGCUAACU
rnacentral:rRNA from 1 species